ACACUCACCUAAGGGCUUCUGAAGGCCUAGCAUCCCUGACUGGCUAUGUCACACUUAGCAAGAAAUUUAUGUAUAGUAAGGAGCUUCAGCAAUACAUGAUUUCUCUGCAGAAGUGAAAGGAAAUACUUUGGGAAUCCCUUUGUUAACUUAGAGCUUCAGUCCAUUGUCUUUCACUGUCCUCAUGAAGGAAUCUGGUUACCUGCCAUCUCAUGAGAAGGAACCAAGAGAUUAUAGAAGAAUCCAGAGGUCCUUUUGCUGUAGAAGAGUACCUAAAAGGAACAUAUUCCCUGGUCUACUGUACACUUUGCAUUCAGGAUAAAGUAUAGUAUUAAAGCAAGAACAUUUCUGUGGAAAAGUAAUUAUUCAUGUGUCAUUUUUUUCAAAAUUAAGAGGCUGGUAAUUUUGACAGAUUCUUUGGUUUUUACCACAUUGUGCCCAUAGUGAACUUGCUAACCAAAAGACGUGCUAAAAUUGAUAAUGUCUCAGAACUUUUCAUUUCAAAAGUACCAAUUUUGUCAGUGUUUUUUUUAUCCAUUUUCCUGUAGCUUUUUAGAACAUUGAUUUCCUUUUAGGUUUUAAAACUUCCUUUUUGCAAAUACUUUCUCUUGUGGAAAAGAAUUUUUAAAUAUUGAUUUAAGUGGGGUUGCAUUUCAACUGUCCCAGCUCAAAACUGUCCUGAUCUGAAUUAAUCCAAAGUGAGUACU